AUUGAACGCUGGCGGAAUGCUUUACACAUGCAAGUCGAGCGGCAGCGCGGGGGCAACCCUGGCGGCGAGCGGCGAACGGGUGAGUAAUACAUCGGAACGUACCCAGUGGUGGGGGAUAACACAUCGAAAGAUGUGCUAAUACCGCAUACGACCUGAGGGUGAAAGGGGGGGAUCGCAAGACCUCUUGCCGUUGGAGCGGCCGAUGUCGGAUUAGCUAGUUGGUGGGGUAACAGCUCACCAAGGCGACGAUCCGUAGCUGGUCUGAGAGGAUGGUCGGCCACACGGGGACUUGAACACGGCCCAGACUCCUACGCGAAGCAGCAGUGGGAAACUUUGGACAAGGGGGGCAACCCUGAUCCGGCCAUGCCACGGGAGUGAAGAAGAGCGUCUGGUUGUAAAGCUCUUUCGGCAGCAACGAAACGGGUGUGGCUAAUAUCCUUCAUCAAUGGCGAUACCUGGAGAACAAGCACCGGCUAACUACGUGCCAGCCGCCGCCGUAA
rnacentral:rRNA from 1 species